rnacentral:rRNA from 1 species
UGCAGUCGUGGGGCAGCAGGCUACUACCUUCGGGUAGUAGUGCUGGCGACCGGCAAACGGGUGAGUAACGCGUAGCUUACCUACCCCAAGGUUGGGGAUAACCAUCCGAAAGGGUGGCUAAUACCCAAUAAUGAGGAGACUCCAAAGCCCAAAAGGCGCCUUGGGAUGGGGCUGCGUCCCAUCAKCUAGUUGGUGAGGUAAUGGCUCACCAAGGCUACGACGGGUAACCGGUCUGAGAGGAUGAUCGGUCACAGCGGGACUGAGACACGGCCCGCACCCCUACGGGGGGCAGCAGUGGGGAAUAUUGGGCAAUGGCCGAAAGGCUGACCCAGCGACSCCGCGUGGUGGAUGAAGCCCUUCGGGGUGUAAACACCUUUUCUGGGGGAAGAUAAUGACGGUACCCCAGGAAUAAGGGACGGCUAACUACGUGCCAGCAGCCGCGGUAAUACGUAGGUCCCGAACGUUGCGCGAAAUUACUGGGCGUAAAGGGUCCGUAGGCGGUCUGGUAAGUGGAAGGUGAAAUCCUACGGCUCA